GACGAACGCUGGCGGCGUGCCUAAUACAUGCAAGUAGAACGCUGAAGGAGGAGCUUGCUCUUCUGGAUGAGUUGCGAACGAGUGAGUAACGCGUAGGUAACCUGCCUGGUAGCGGGGGAUAACUAUUGGAAACGAUAGCUAAUACCGCAUAACAGUAGAUGUUGCAUGACAUUUACUUAAAAGGUGCAAUUGCAUCACUACCAGAUGGACCUGCGUUGUAUUAGCUAGUUGGUGGGGUAACGGCUCACCAAGGCGACGAUACAUAGCCGACCUGAGAGGGUGAUCGGCCACACUGGGACUGAGACACGGCCCAGACUCCUACGGGAGGCAGCAGUAGGGAAUCUUCGGCAAUAGACGGAAGUCUGACCGAGCAACGCCGCGUGAGUGAAGAAGGUUUUCGGAUCGUAAAGCUCUGUUGUAAGAGAAGAACGAGUGUGAGAGUGGAAAGUUCACACUGUGACGGUAUCUUACCAGAAAGGGACGGCUAACUACGUG
rnacentral:rRNA from 1 species